AACAUAUAUUCCUGACACCAUAGUUGUGAAAACGCUAUUCACCCUGGCUUUAUGUGAUAAUGGCUAUGCCCCUUCCCUUUCAUGACACUGUCAAAAAGGUACCAAGCAUGGAUGUCAUUACAAUUAUGCCCCCCCCCUGGAAAAAUUUCUGCGGACGCCCAUGUCUGUAAUUGAUCAUCCUUGUGCAUGGUUUCUAUUGCCAAUACAAGGCACUAUCUGAGCAGGAUACUUUAGAUAUUUUUGGGUUGUCAGUUUGAUAAUUACCUACUUCGAGUGAAAGUUGGAAGCUAAUUUGUCAAAAAAGGAUCCAGGACAGAGAAG